CCUACGGGUGGCAGCAGUAGGGAAUAUUGCGCAAUGGACGGAAGUCUGACGCAGCGACGCCGCGUGAGCGAUGAAGGUCUUCGGAUCGUAAAGCUCUGUCCUUGGGGAAGAAGGCGAAAGCUUGACGGUACCCAAAAAACAAGCCACGGCUAACUACGUGCCAGCAGCCGCGGUAAUACGUAGGUGGCGAGCGUUGUCCGGAAUUACUGGGUGUAAAGGGCGUGUAGGCGGGGGAGCAAGUCAGAUGUGAAAUCCCGGGGCUCAACUCCGGAGUUGCAGCUGAAACUGUUUUUCUUGAGUGCUGGAGAGGAAAGCGGAAUACCUAGUGUAGCGGUGAAAUGCGUAGAUAUUAGGAGGAACACCAGUGGCGAAGGCGGCUUUCUGGACAGUAACUGACGCUGAGGCGCGAAAGCGUGGGGAGCAAACAGGAUUAGAUACCCUUGUAGUC
rnacentral:rRNA from 1 species